rnacentral:rRNA from 1 species
UAUAAAUGUAAAUUUUAAAACUAAAUUAUUAUUAGUUAUGUUCUUGAAAGUUAAAGAAUUUGGCGGUAUUUUAGUCUAUUUAGAGGAACCUGUCCUAUAAUUGAUAGUCCACGAUUUAUUUGACUUAAUUUAUUAGUUUGUAUAUCGUCGUAGGUUGAAUAUUUUUUAAGGAAAUGAAUAUUCAAGAUUCUUUAUAAAGAAAAAAAUCAGAUCAAGGUGCAGCUUAUAGUUAAGAAGAGAUGGGUUACAAUAAAUUUAUUUAAAUGGUUAAGUAUUUGAAAAAUUCUUAUAAAGUGGAUUUAAUAGUAAUAAAGUUAAAUUUAAUUUUAUGAUUUUAGCUCUAGGAUAUGU